rnacentral:lncRNA from 1 species
CAGGAGGCCACUGCCGGAGCAGGUACGGUAUUCUGGAAGCUUCUGUUCCCUCAAGAUAACAUUCACUCCUUCAGAGAGCAUAACAGUACAUCAUUUUGUAAUCACAGCACCAGCGUCGAUGCUACGGUUCUCCGGUUACUUGGUCACACUUGCAGCUGCUUCUCUUCCUGGCAGCACAAAGGGAAGAUGACUUGCUGAAUCCUCGGGAUGCAGGAAUUCCAGGAGAAAGUACUCAACUAUUACAGACCUCCACCGGUUACUGAGCAGGGCCUUUGGAGAUACAUUUCUAAUAACCUAGAUAGAAUGAAGAGCAGAGGCGUCCUUGGGGGUGAUCUCAGGGACACCAGAAGAUCCCUGCUUCUAAAACACCUCCACCACCUUCCUGGCGGUGAGUGAAUGAGGAAAAAUCUUGUCUACAGAGAGAGCACUUCCCAAAUGUCUGUUGACUUCAAGUUGCUAAUAAUCAGUUUUUUCUCAAGAUUAAGUUUCUGAUGAAGGAAAAAAGGGGAAGAAAGAUGGGGGCCUGUAACUUUGAUUGGAGAGGAAAGAAAGAAAUUCGGGGAGGGGAAGGAAAGCUGUGCAGGUCCAUCCACGGGAGGGUCCUGGGGACGGGACGGCUCAGCGUGUGCAGCUUCCACUGAGGCUCUGGUGCCCAGAUCACUGGGGAGAUGUCAGCACACCUGGCUGGGUCUUUUUGGGUGCUUCCUCAGAGUCAUUCAGCUGGCAAAUCAGAGGGCAGCAGGGAGCCCUGUCCCCCCUUCCCAACGCUUAUAAAUCAAUAAUCCAGCUUUGAGUCUGGUGAAGGUGGGGAGAGUGGCGUUUGCUCUGGUUGCUCCUGUGUCAAAAGCCUAUACUAAGGUGUUCAGCAGCUUUAUUUUGGUGAUUCGUGUAUAAUUAUAUCCAUCCCUUGGGUUUAUAGGGCCCCUCUCCUCCUAAUUUUUGAGAAGGGCAGCAGGAAGGGAAGGAGAGAGCUAUUCAUCGAGGACUUGCUAUAUGCCAGGCCCUUUGCUAGAAAGGUCCAUGCUUUAUUUCCAAGCUUCAGGGCGAUACCACAAGGAAAGGGCUCAUUUUCCCAACUCACUAGUUGGGGGAAAUUGAGGACUGGGAGGGUGUCGUGAAGCUGGUGUUCAAAAGAACCUCGGUCACUUAGAAGAGGCGAAGUCCCCCUGGCAGUGCCAGCAGGGGGGAAGCCCCUCUCGGGGGGCACAGUGGUGGCAGCGGCCGAGCUCCCCUCAGUCUUGCGCUGUGUAGCCCCUGCCUUCUUGCCUGUGGCCGGGCUCCGCUCCCACGGGCA